rnacentral:rRNA from 1 species
AAAUUGAAGAGUUUGAUCAUGAAAGCAGAUUGAACGCUGGCGGCAGGCCCCUAACACAUGCAAGUCAACGGUAACAGGAAGCAGCACAACGCUUCGCUGACAGUGGCGGACGGGUGGUAAUGUCUGGGAAACUGCCUGAUGGAGGGGGAUAACUACCUGCUGGAAGCGGUGGCUAUACUGCAUAACGUCGCAAGACCAAGAGGGGACCUUCGGGCACUCUUGCCCAUCAGAUAUUGCCCAGAUGGGAUUAGCUUGUUGGUGAGGUAACGGCUCACCAAGGCGACGAUCUAGCUGGUCUGAGAGGUUGAUGACCUGGAAUUGAGACACGGUCAGACUCCCUACGGGAGGCAGCAGUGGGGAAUAUUGCACAAUGGGCGCAAGCCUGAUGCAACCAUGCCGCGUGUAUGAAGAAGGCCUUUCGGGUUGUAAAGUACUUACUUUCAGCGGGGAGGAAGGUGUUGUGGUUAAUAACCGGCAAUUGACGUUACCCGCAGAAAGCUUUCGGCUAACUCCGUGCCAGCAGCCGCGGCAGCAGGAGGGUGCAAACGUUAAUCAGAAUUACUGGGCGUAAAGCGCACGCAGGCGGUCUGUCAAGUCGGAUGUGAAAUCGGGCUCAACACGGGAACUGCAUUCGAGCUGGCAGGCUUAGUGUAGCAGGGGUAGAAUUCCGGGUGUAGCGGUGAAAUGCGUAGAGAUCUGGAGGAAUACCGGUGGCGAAGGCCCCCACGGACGGGCAACGCUCAGGUGCAGCGUGAGGAAGCAAGCAAGUUAGAUACCACGGUAGUCACGCCGUAAACGAUGUCUGCCGGAGGUUGUGCCCUUGAGGACGUGGCUUCGGAGCUAACGCGUUAAGUAGACCGCACAGGGAAUUACGGCCGCAAGGUUAAAACUCAAAUAAUAAUUGACGGGGGCCCGCACAAGCGGUGGAGCAUGUGGUUUUAAUUCGAUGCAACGCAAAGAAGAACACUUACACCGGUCUUGACAUCCACAGAACUUUCAAGAAGAUGGACUGGUGCCUUCGGGAACUGUGAGACGGGUGCUGCAUGGCUGUCGUCGCUCGUGUUGUGAAAUGUUGGGUUAAGUCCGCAACGGUAACCCUUAUCGCUGUUGCCGCGGUCCGGCAGAACUCAAAGGAGACUGCCAGUGAUAAACUGGAGGGAAGGUGGGGAUGACGUCAAGUCAUCAUGGCCCUUACGACGGGGGCUACACGUGCUACAAUGGCGCAUACAAAGAGAAGCGACCUCGCGAGAGCAAGCGGACCUCGCAGUGCGUCGUAGUCCGGAUUGAGUCUUACGCUCGACUCCAUGAAGUCCGGAAUCUUGUGUCUCGUGGAUCAGAAUGCCACGGUGACGUUCCCGGGCGCUUGUACACACCGCCCGUCACACCAUGGGAGUGGGUUGCAAAAAGUAGGUAGCUUAACCUUCGGCGGGAGGCGCUUGCACCACUUUGUGAUUCAUGACUGGGGUGAAGUCGUAACAAAGGUAACCGUAGGGGAACCUGCGGUUGGAUCACCUCCUUA